rnacentral:misc_RNA from 1 species
AAAUGCGAUAAUUAAUGUGAAUUGCAGAAUUCAGUGAGUCAUCGAGUCUUUGAACGCACAUUGCGCCCCCUGGUAUUCCGGGGGGCAUGCCUGUCCGAGCGUCAUUGCUGCCCUCAAGCACGGCUUGUGUGUUGGGCUUCCGUCCCUGGCAACGGGGACGGGCCCAAAAGGCAGUGGCGGCACCAUGUCUGGUCCUCGAGCGUAUGGGGCUUUGUCACCCGCUCCCGUAGGUCCAGCUGGCAGCUAGCCUCGCAACCAAUCUUUUUAACCAGGUUGACCUCGGAUCAGGUAGGGAUACCCGCUGAACUUAAGC